GCAGUGGUGGUUCAGUGGUAGAAUGAUUGCCUUCCACGUGGGAGACCUGGGUUUGAUUCCCGGUCAAUGCA
rnacentral:tRNA from 1 species